UGCAAAUUAUAUGCCUUCACACCGGAACCUGCCGGUGCCUCUGCGCAAUCCAGCGAUGCAUCCGACGUCUCAAUGGAAGUAGACCAUUCCGAGGCUGCUUCAUCGCUGGAACAGUCGAGCAGCUUGUCGUGACCAGAUUGAGACUCUCCCGAUCUUCCCGAGGACUCCAUGCUCGGCCGGCCCGAGAGCGAAUCCAUCUCCAUCUAUUCAGACCUUUAUUUCAGUUUUGCCUCCCCUGGUUCAGUGGCCGUCAACUUUUUUCUGGUUCAGGAAACGGCCUAGAUCAAAAUUCAAGAAGCAGUCCCGGGAGCAGCGUCAGGAUUGCUUCAAUCAUGGAGGUGCGAUGUGGAGUUUGCUUGUUGGGAAGGUAAGAGAAAAAAGUGUUCUAGUUUUCUUGUGGGCAAGGAAGAAAAUCUUGACUGGGAAAGAUCUUGGUGAACGGGAGGAAACAGAGAUCACAAAGUAGGCUGUUGGCUGUAGUGGUUGGUCUUAUGCUCGGCAGCUUGACAUUGAUUUUUCCUGCGACAUGACUGCGCUGACCACAGGGGAACACGGGUUCCGGAGAGACGAUGAGGACAUUGGGAAAGCUUCAAUGGAUGCUCUGAUUUU
rnacentral:lncRNA from 1 species